AUUGAACGCUGGCGGCAGGCCUAACACAUGCAAGUCGAACGAGUGGCGGACGGGUGAGUAAUGUCUGGGAAACUGCCUGAUGGAGGGGGAUAACUACUGGAAACGGUCGCUAAUACCGCAUACCAUCGGAUGUGCCCAGAUGGGAUUAGCUAGUAGGUGGGGUAAAGGCUCACCUCGGCGACGAUCACUAGCUGGUCUGAGAGGAUGACCAGCCACACUGGAACUGAGACACGGUCCAGAUGCCUACGGGAGGCAGCAGUGGGGAAUAUGGCACAAUGGGCGCAAGCCUGAUACAGCCAUGCCGCGUGUAUGAAGAAGGCCCUCGGGUUGUAAAGUACUUUCAGCGGGGAGGCGUUACCCGCAGAAGAAGCACCGGCUAACUCCGUGCCAGCAGCCGCGGUAAUUC
rnacentral:rRNA from 1 species